rnacentral:misc_RNA from 1 species
CAGUUAUUCUGGUUAACAGCAGCCUCUCGAUGAUUUUAGAUGCUAGGAAAUUUACCCAUGGUUGGAUAUUGGGUGACAAAUUACCUAACAAUGGCAAUAGGAGCACCUUCUUUGAAAAGAGUACUUGCAAAUGGUGGUGGAAACCAAGCUGCAUUACCACCACCCGAGCCAUCCUGAUAAUGGCCAUCGCCUGAUCUUCGGCCCUUUCUCAGUUUUGUGCUCACUCUUCGUCCAACAGAAAUGGUAAGCUUCAUGGCAGUAAAUAC